CCUAAGGUAGCGAAAUUCCUUGUCGGGUAAGUUCCGACCUGCACGAAUGGCGUAAUGAUGGCCAGGCUGUCUCCACCCGAGACUCAGUGAAAUUGAACUCGCUGUGAAGAUGCAGUGUACCCGCGGCAAGACGGAAAGACCCCGUGAACCUUUACUACAGCUUGACACUGAACAUUGAGCCUUGAUGUGUAGGAUAGGUGGGAGGCUUUGAAGCGCGGACGCCAGUUCGCGUGGAGCCAACCUUGAAAUACCACCCUUUAAUGUUUGAUGUUCUAACGUAGGCCCGUAAUCCGGGCUGCGGACAGUGUCUGGUGGGUAGUUUGACUGGGGCGGUCUCCUCCUAAAGAGUAACGGAGGAGCACGAAGGUCAGCUAAUCACGGUCGGACAUCGUGAGGUUAGUGCAAUGGCAUAAGCUGGCUUGACUGCGAGAGUGACGGCUCGAGCAGGUGCGAAAGCAGGUCAUAGUGAUCCGGUGGUUCUGAAUGGAAGGGCCAUCGCUCAACGGAUAAAAGGUACUCCGGGGAUAACAGGCUGAUACCGCCCAAGAGUUCAUAUCGACGGCGGUGUUUGGCACCUCGAUGUCGGCUCAUCACAUCCUGGGGCUGAAGUAGGUCCCAAGGGUACGGCUGUUCGCCGUUUAAAGUGGUACGCGAGCUGGGUUUAGAACGUCGUGAGACAGUUCGGUCCCUAUCUGCCGUGGGCGCUGGAGAAUUGAGGGGGGCUGCUCCUAGUACGAGAGGACCGGAGUGGACGCACCACUGGUGUUCGGGUUGUCAUGCCAAUGGCAUUGCCCGGUAGCUAAGUGCGGAAAAGAUAAGUGCUGAAAGCAUCUAAGCACGAAACUUGCCCCGAGAUGAGUUCUCCCUGACUCCUUUGAGAGUCCUGAAGGGACGUUGAAGACUACGACGUUGAUAGGCCGGGUGUGUAAGCGCAGCGAUGCGUUGAGCUAACCGGUACUAAUGACCCGUGAGGCUUAACCUUACAACGCCAGAGGCGUUU
rnacentral:rRNA from 1 species